UACAGAGGGGGCAAGCGUUGUUCGGAAUUACUGGGCGUAAAGGGCGCGUAGGCGGCCUGUUAAGUCGGACGUGAAAUCCCCGGGCUCAACCCGGGAACUGCGUCCGAUACUGGCAGGCUUGAAUCCGGGAGAGGGAUGUGGAAUUCCAGGUGUAGCGGUGAAAUGCGUAGAUAUCUGGAGGAACACCGGUGGCGAAGGCGGCAUCCUGGACCGGUAUUGACGCUGAGGCGCGAAAGCCAGGGGAGCAAACGGG
rnacentral:rRNA from 1 species